GACCAUUAUCGAAUCACCUCUCAAUGGUCGCGGCUG
rnacentral:ncRNA from 1 species